rnacentral:rRNA from 1 species
AUUGAACGCUGGCGGCAUGCCUUACACAUGCAAGUCGAACGGCAGCACGGGUGCUUGCACCUGGUGGCGAGUGGCGAACGGGUGAGUAAUACAUCGGAACAUGUCCUGUAGUGGGGGAUAGCCCGGCGAAAGCCGGAUUAAUACCGCAUACGAUCUACGGAUGAAAGCGGGGGACCUUCGGGCCUUGCGCUAUAGGGUUGGCCGAUGGCUGAUUAGCUAGUUGGUGGGGUAAAGGCCUACCAAGGCGACGAUCAGUAGCUGGUCUGAGAGGACGACCAGCCAAACUGGGACUGGGACCCGGCCCAGACCCCUACGGGAGGCAGCAGGGGGGAAUUUUGACAAAUGGGGGAAAGCCUGACCCAGCAAUGCCGGGUGUGUGAAGAAGGCCUUCGGGUUGUAAAGCCCUUUUGUCCGGAAAAAAAUCCUUGGCCCUAAUACGGGCGGGGGAUGACGGCACCGGAAAAAAAAGCCCCGGCUAACUACGU